rnacentral:rRNA from 1 species
AAAAUCAACUACUACUUAACUUACACAUGCAAGUAUCAGCACCCCUGUGAGAACGCCCUUUAACUCCUCUAAGGGGUAAGGAGCUGGUAUCAGGCGCACAUACCCCAGCCCAAGACACCUAGCUAUGCCACACCCUCAAGGGAAUUCAGCAGUGAUUAACAUUAAAUAUAAGCGACAGCUUGAUUCAGUUAAAGUAAAAAGAGCCGGCUAAUCUGGUGCCAGCCGCCGCGGUUACACCAUGUGGCUCAAGUUGAUAUUAUUCGGCGUAAAGCGUGAUUUAAGAGAUUUGCCUAUGGUGUUAAAAAUGUACUGAGCUGUGACACGCCUGUUCUUAAGAAACUCAAAAACGAAAGUUACACCAACCGCACUAACUUGA